CUGACUACUAUGGUUAUUUCUGGUAGACAUCCUUAAGCAACCCUACUGGCAGCAGCCUUCCUUAAAGAAUAUCUAGAUUAUGGCAAUCCUGUGAAGGUUGGCGACACCUUGAGUUAAACCCAUUUUCUUUACACAAACCUCAAAAAAUAAAAAUACUCUAUGAGGGUCUAGCGGUGUCCUGUUUUGCACAUUUUGAAUGGCGAGCGUGCUUCCUCGAAGAGUUGGACAGCUGGGCAUCAGUAUUUAAAUUUGGGUCAGAUCUUCCAGUGGGGUUCGCCCCGUCUAUAUGAGAGCUACAGGAAACCCCGAAGCAACGAAUAUGUGCAGCCUUAUUUGGCCUGUUUUGGCCACGAGGUCGUCGCCAGAACAGCUGCCAGUAUACCGGCUGCGACUAUGCCUAGAAACGCCUAUGCGUUACAAUUAUUCAACGCCAAGUUAAGCAAUCAAAAAAAUAAGUUUUGUCAAUCGUUAAUAGACGUUAGGUGCUCUUGGGCAGUAUAAAGCCGGCUUUUGAAUGUUUAACCACAAGUUCCAUUUAGUUCGGCAACUGAAGAAAAGCACCCAACUAUUUUCUAAGGUCAACCGCAAUAAAAUUCAUUUCACCAUUGUGGUUACGUAUGAUGCAUCCACAUGAAUUCUAAUUUAUGAUCAUGAAUAUUCAUAAUGUAGAGCAUAUAUGGAUAACAUUGUGGUGCAGGAAUGACGCGUUUUAUCAAAAAACUGGUUAGCGUUUCUAUCAACUGUGGUGAAAUGUCUCACUUUGUUGACAUUUGUGGUACGUUACACGGUUGAAAAUACGACGAUUUAGCUUGACAUUUGGCCAAAGAUCAGAAUCGUACCACAUUUCUAACCUGUUCACAUCUAAAAAAGUUCGAUAAUAUUAAAGUCUUAAAUCAAUAUUUCCUUGCUAGAAUAUAGAAAUCGGUACUACAUAACCUUAUCGUUCCCUAAAAGCGCUUAUGCUUAUAAUAAAAUUUGAUUCGCGGCGCCAGCAAGCAUGCUAGCUUUCCCACUGUUCAACUUUGCACUCUUUUGCGGGCAGCUUCUAUGCGCGGAGCUACGAGUUUUCUAACCCUUUAAAUGAGUUUCUAUUUAUAUUCUAGUCAAGACACAUCCUACACGACCUGUUUGAACAAAGAAAGUUGUUUUCUUACGUAAUCGUAGUGUUCUUCCCUUUAACACAUCGUCCUUGCAACAGGUCUCUGAUGAUUUCUCUUAAAUACACAAGAUCUGUUCGAAACGAUCGAGAUGAUUGACACCACUUUAAUAUCGUUGCCUGUGUAACAAGUUAUGCCUUGCCAUUCAUCAAUCUAGUUACGGGUUUACUGCACUUAAAACUUCGCUUACUCUCUAUAAUUGUGUAAACUACAAGCCGGUCUAUUUUAGUCGCGUCAUUAAGAUUGUUACACGACUGAUGACAGGAUGGUAGAUAUUCUAGCUUCAGUAGUCCUAUCCUUAAUUGCUUCCGGUUAAGGUAUUUCUAUACAUUUGUUGAAGUUACCUCUUAGGUUAAUUAGUGUAGUAAUUUAGCCGAGAAGUGACUUUUUGGUCAGCUGAACCUCGCAACAAAUUUUUGCUCGAACUUAACCUUUACAGUGAUAUGACCGACGUGGUCAGUCGUAGCUGUGGCAUCUUUCAAGCCCUUUCUUCUACGACGCACCUCAUCGAGCUAAAUGAACUGCUGAAUACCUACCUAGCUACAUAAACUCCAUCGAUCUACCCUGUGAGGGACUUCGGCGUGCCACAGCAGAACUGGACAGGAUUUAAUUGGACUUCUGUUUAAAUUUACGAUUUUCAAAUGAAUCGAAUUGAAACACCUGAGCCCAUUUUGUUCGCAAAUUCUACAGAGGAUAAUAUUUUGUUUGACAGCUUUCGAUCUUCUGGAGACGGGCUGCGUGGGUUUGAAGGACGAAGUUGACGUUGCGAUGAAAAGCGCCGCCGAAAGGACAACUAAUCAAUGGUGCAAUGGUCUGGCGUACCAAUGACGAUGCGUGCUGCCUAUUCUUAUCGACUGACACAAUGGCGUACUGUGGUUCUGCAGCGUUGGCGUGAGAAGAUAACGGGUUCCUCAAUAAAACUGAAGGAAUACCAAUAUCUCGAAUAAUAUUAUUUGAUUGCUUAAUUACGAAUCUCACGCAAAACUUAUGUCAGAAUGCCUACCGACAACAAAAUAUCUUCACAAGAUAAGGGAUUAGAAGUUUCGCAAAGAAGAUUCAUCUCGCAGUAGGCGUAUUAUAAGAAGUACCGAUUAUCUCCAAACAGAAAUGACACAUUCGUACAAAGAUUAAGUGCCCAAAAGGCCGGGGCUUAGCAUUUCUACUGCUGUGUCACUUCCAAUAUCGGCCCCGACUGCUUUAGAUACGAGAACCACAAUCAAGACCUAGUUCUCGUCGUAAAUGUCGAGGCGGCCGUGGAUCUUGGAAGGUAUUGUCCUCUCCAAGAAAAAGCUUACCGGAUUGUUGAACAUUGUGCGCCUAAC
rnacentral:lncRNA from 1 species